rnacentral:lncRNA from 1 species
UUUAUUUUUUUUGUCAAGAAAUUUAUUAACCUUUACAAACACUAUUUCACACAAUCAUUCAUUAAAAAAGUUUUACAAUGAAGUCUGUAAUAAAACCAUGUAACGUUCACCAAUGCAUUCCAGCCCGUCACACCCAUGGAGUAUAACAAACCACUUUAAAACAGCAGUUUUCGUUCUCUCCAGGUAAGGGUGUUGUACUGAUACUGAAGUCUUCCUGUAACAAGCUGUCAUUCAAGAGAGCCACUUUAUGUCACCGUGUGUGGCACACUGGUGUACCCCAGAGUAGACAUGGUCAUCUUUGCAGUCUCUUUCAAACCAGUUUCACAACAGGAAAGUAUUUGUGAACAGAGAAAUCAAAUUCAGGAGGAACCUAAAAGCAAAGCCAGAAAGUCAGUGAAUGCAUGUUUGCCGCAGUGUACAUGACUACUGCAGACUUCGUGUUUCAGAAACAGGAACUGCUCGUCUAAGUAACGACAGCAGCAGUCAGAGGGAAGGAAACAAGGACGGACCGAGUCUCUCCUCUUAAAAGAGGUCAUCAGAAAACACCCAGGCCAGUUGUCUGUUCAGAGAAAGUUAAAGGAAAAUGGACUCUGGACAAGGUGCUCAGACAGAUCAGGAAGGCAACACAGGUCAGCUUGAGGCUAACAAGUGAGGCCAUCAUAACAGGCAGAUGCCACAAAGCUGCAAACUGCAUCAGAGCUGCCUGUGACGACCAGACCGUCCAUAUCAGUGCUACAUGGUAUCAGUGUUUGCGUCUCAGAACUGGGGAACUGACUGGGUUGGCUCCGGGUUUGUGGUGCAAGCUGUGCGAGCAUGAGAACCCAAGGCCUGACUCCCGGCACCUGCAUUAAAAGCUGAGCAGUGAUGUACGUGGGAGUGGGAGGGAAAGAAAGAAGAAAUUUUAAGUCUCAAACGUCUGGAGGAAACGUGGUGGCCGAGCCUCUUACGGUGACUUUGUUGUGACAGCACACAGGAACUCUGCACUCCCUUUCC